AAUGCCUUCAAAAUUCAGAGGGGAGGCCAAGUGUGGUGGCUCACAUCUGUAAUCUCAGCACUUUGAGAGGCCAAGUGUGAUCUCCUGGAGCACAGGAACUGGACUGGAAUCAUCUCAUAGCCCCAGCACUUAACAUAGACCCUGCCAUCAUAUAUCAAGGUGUAGAACUAAGUUCAUCAUACGUCUUAAGGCACAAUGUCACCGUGGGUCUGUUAAGCCUCCUCAGAUUUUCCCUGAUAUCGCAAUACAUACUCCAAAUUUUUGCUAAAGUAUUAAAUCAAUGUCAUUAGAUAUGUAAGCAUCCUUGAAA